AAUGCUGGUGUUGGUAUUGUGGCGCUGCUGAUCGGCGGUGCUGUUGUUCGAGCAUUGCUGGUGCUCCAGUAGCGAUGGCGGAAUCAGAUUCCUAUGAUGAGUUGCAUAACAUCGCCAAGUCGGAGACAGAGCAGGAAACACUGCUCUUAGUUGUUGACGAUGAUGCUUAGUGGGUUCGACGGAUCUCAUUGUUGACGACGACGCACUUGAUGUGAUAGAGGGUGCAGCGGAUGAAGCUGUUGGCCCUAUUGACGGUGGCUGUGGCUACCGUAUUUAAGAAGGAUGAUAGAUCAGAGGCGGAGCAGAGGGGCGCUGUGCUGGUGGUGGCUGCAAUGGACGAGGAUUCUGCUUCACCUAAUCAGAGAUGGAGAAAGGGGGGACCGGUGACUACCGUUGCUUGCGGCAGGAGAUGGGCCUCGAAACUCUGAUUUUAAUGGAGGAUGACGAUGGAGAAGGGGAGGCCAGCUGCUGCCCUUGAUUGCAGCUAGAGAUGGACUUCGAAAUUUGUUGGAGAGACUGAUUAGAGUUACAGAGGAGAGCAAUGAGAAGUUCCUGUUGAAGCUCAAAGACUGAAUCGACUGAGCCGAAAUCGAGGUUCUCAUAGUCGAAGUCCGAUUCAAGCAUUUGAAUGUCGAAGAAGAGGCCUAUGUUGCUCGUGGAGCUUAUUGUUCAUGGUCAACUUCACCAUUAAUAUUAUUGAGGGCUUCUUGAAUAGUCUAUGUUUUUUACGUGUUAUUACCAUUGUACUGACUAAGUUGGUCAAGUGGAAGAUUUUGGAUUCGUUUGUGAAGAUCGGAGUAUAAAUAUUGGAGUUUCUUAUCUAUUGACAUCUUAUCGCAGUUAGUGAAAAGAACUUUGAUGGGACAUUGCAAUAUGCCCGUAACAAAAGAGUUCAGGUCUCGCACUUCUACAGUUCUUUAUGAAAUUGGAUGACGGAUGCAAACAACUCUCGCCAUUGGUCAAUGAACUUUCCCAGAGAUGCCCUUUGCAGAGCUUCCUUAAGGUGCAUUUCCAAGCCAUUUCUUGUGCCUUGUGAUGUACAUUUCCAUGUAGGCAUCUGCUUUGGAGGUCUGUUGAUACCAUGUGUCUGUAGGGAGCAGCACCUACACAUGCCUCCACAUGUGCCAAUAUGGCCCUCAUGUGCAAGAUCCAAGUUGCUCAUUAGGUGGGCCGCAAGCCCCAACAUGUAGAUUCACUGGCACAGGAAUCAGGGAGUUUUGUCCACCCACCCAUCAGGUGGGGCAAAUGUACAUUUAAUGAACACUGGGCCAAACUGUUCUUAGCCAUGCAUUUGAUCUGUUCUUUGUGGCCCACCUGAUGGUAGACCAGCCUGUUUAUUUGACCCAGGGCAUGUAGGCAAGAGGCCGCUUGAUCGACACAGCUCCAUUGGCACAAUCUUCCAAUGUGAUUUUGGAUAAUCCAGUCCCUAGUUCUGGUUCAGAGAUAUGUUCUGUUUUGCAAUUUAGUAUCAAUGAUCUUAGAACAAGGAGGAGCCAGUCCCUAGUUCAAUCUUGGUUUUAUCAUUGGCAAGAUUGAUCAAGACUUAUUUAUUGUAGAUCAGGUAACUUUGCCUUUUUCUUCAUAUCAGUGGAAGUCCAUAUGCACACACUUCUCAUGUUUCAUAAGCCUGUUUUUCAUGCUUAUGACAGUUCUUUAUAAAUGGUGUGUUUGGAUAAAGGCCUGCCUACCUAGCACCAAUCAAUUUCUAAUUAGAUGUUGUGGGAUUCUUAAGAUAGUGAAAUGAACACGUACUAAGAUCUGGAAUUUGAUGCAGCAUGCUGCAGACGAGAAAUACAACUUUGAUCGACUCUCACAAUCAACCAUCUUGCACCAACAGCCUCUGCUUCAGUGAGUAAGAAUUUAUCUUUGGUUAAAAAUAUUUCUAUUAACUUGGUUGUCUAUACUCAGAAUGUGAACCAAUAUAAAAAUCCUAUAUUGCAGAAGACCAUCAAUGUAUUUAGGCAUGUUGGCUUAUUUUAAUGCAGUGGAAUUUGUCUUUUUGAGUUCAUGUCACUUCUAAUAACAUUAUUAUAUCUCAAAACAUCAUCAUUUGUAAUUAGCAAUAUUAGGUGUAUGGAUCGGGCAUUUCCACCUUCUUUUAGUGCUUAUGAUUUCUCAUUUACUUACCUUGAACCAAUCUUAUGAGUUAUCAGGCAUUUUCCUUAGCUUUGAUUCUUGUCAUGCUAGUAUCAACUAAAAAUUAGUGUCAAUGAUCAGUUGCCUAACAGCUUGUCGCAGGCUUUCUCUAUGCUUUUGUUGUUGGGUUGCAAAUAGCUAUGUGCUCUUCUUGUAUCUCAUUCUUUGCACAAGUUUCCGUAUACAGGUCACAUGGGGAGCAUUCCUUUACAGGUCAUUAUGUUGUGCAGCUCGCUCAGCUCAUGAUCUAAUUCAACAAGAAUCAGAGGCUAUUCAAUCUCAAAGGAAUUGCUGUGAGUAAUUGCAUUUAUAUUAGCUAAGACAGUUUGCUAUUGUAGCCCACCUCCUUAACAGAUCCCAUUUUAUUUGUGGCUAAGUUAUUAUACAAUUUUCAGCUUCUUGUGUCACGUCUUGAAUUUUCAUG